AUGAGCAUUCCACCAUCCAGAGACCCGAUCUCUCCCAGGAAGAGCCUGUUAGCAGCCGAGAUGCCCAUGAUUGAAGGACUCCUACAGAGCACACAGCAAGAGUCACUAAUCUCUCCAUAAGGAACAGAGCAUGGCAACAGCUGUGGAUGCUGCCUGCGUGGCCAGGGGUCCUAGCAGCACUGACCUGCAAGGCUUCCCGUGGACCUGCCUGCGCCACCUGCUCGGCUCACAGCUGUCAGGCAGCCGCCUGCACCGCCACCUGCUGUGCCGGACUCUUUCCACUCCGAUCCGCACUGGCUGGACCAGUCCCACAGCGAAGCUGAAGGGGAAGCGGCGCCCCCUGGGCGCCCUCCGGGAUCUGCGGGAACCGCCGCCCCCGCCGCCCCCUGGGUGCCCUCCAGGACG
rnacentral:lncRNA from 13 species